GACGAACGCUGGCGGCGUGCUUAACACAUGCAAGUCGAACGGUGACGGCAGGGCUUGCCUUGUCUGAUCAGUGGCGAACGGGUGAGUAACACGUGAGUAACCUGCCCCAGACUCUGGGAUAACCCCGGGAAACCGGAGCUAAUACCGGAUAUGACCCUCGUACGCAUGUGCAGGGGGUGGAAAGUUUUUCGGUCUGGGAUGGGCUCGCGGCCUAUCAGCUUGUUGGGGAGGUAGUGGCUCACCAAGGCGACGACGGGUAGCCGGCCUGAGAGGGCGACCGGCCACACUGGGACUGAGACACGGCCCAGACUCCUACGGGAGGCAGCAGUGGGGAAUAUUGCACAAUGGGCGGAAGCCUGAUGCAGCGACGCCGCGUGAGGGAUGACGGCCUUCGGGUUGUAAACCUCUUUCAGCAGGGAAGAAGCGUGAGUGACGGUACCUGCAGAAGAAGCACCGGCUAACUACGUGCCAGCCGCCGCAGUAAAAC
rnacentral:rRNA from 1 species